CCGAGUUUACAACUCCCAAACCCCUGUGAACAUACCACUUGUUGCCUUGGCGGAUCCGCCUCGCUCCAGCGGCUUAAACGGCUUGACGUGCCCGCCAGAGGACCACUAAACUCUUGUUUUUAUAUGUAAUGUCUGAGUAAACCAUAUAAUAAAUUAA
rnacentral:misc_RNA from 1 species